UACGGAGGGAGCUAGCGUUGUUCGGAAUUACUGGGCGUAAAGCGCGCGUAGGCGGCUUUGUAAGUUAGAGGUGAAAGCCCGGGGCUCAACUCCGGAACUGCCUUUAAGACUGCAUCGCUUGAAUCCGGGAGAGGUGAGUGGAAUUCCUGGUGUAGAGGUGAAAUUCGUAGAUAUCAGGAGGAACACCGGUGGCGAAGGCGGCCACCUGGACAGUCACUGACGCUGAGACGCGAAAGCGUGGGGAGCAAACAGG
rnacentral:rRNA from 1 species